AGCAGCCGCGGUAAUUCCAGCUCCAAUAGCGUAUAUUAAAGUUGUUGCAGUUAAAAAGCUCGUAGUUGAAUUUCGGGGUCAGUAGAUUGGUCGUGCCACUGGUAUGUACUGGUCUCACUGGCUCCUCCUUCCUGAUGAACCGUAAUGCCAUUAAUUUGGUGUUGCGGGGAGACUGGACUGUUACUUUGAAAAAAUUAGAGUGUUUAAAGCGGGCACGCGCUUGAAUACAUUAGCAUGGAAUAACGAAAUAGGACGUUCGAUCUUAUUUUGUGGGUUUCUAGGACCGCCGUAAUGAUUAAUAGGGACAGUCGGGGGCAUCAGUAUUCAAUUGUCAGAGGUGAAAUUCUUGGAGAAAU
rnacentral:rRNA from 1 species